CCACUGAGGAAACUGCUCUCAGCUGGCAAGCAUGGUGGACGGUCCUCAUCUGCACACACCCCAAAGAAGUUUCCGAGGAAUGGAUCCUUGAUUUUAGACUGUGAGAUCUUUUCCUCCAGGACUCUCCAGAGGCGGGUCCCUGGCCAAUGAACACCCACUAGUCCGGAAGGCAGGAGCUCACGGUGCAGACCCACCCACCGAAGCCAUUGGUGGAUGGGAAAAAAAGAAAAUGGCGUCUCCAUGUCUCAGCUCAGCAAACUCUUUGCAUCCAUUCCUCCACUUCAGGGAUGAACUCCAGAAACCUCGCUGCUUUUCACUGGGAGGUCUGGAUUUGGGGACAGCGAGGGGAGCAGGUGGUUUUUAGGGAGAGCUGUGAAUGCUGGUGUUUACAAAAUUGAGUACAAAUGCUGUAGCAUGCUUAAAGUUCUCUAGUACAUUUGAAGUCAUAGGUUUAUUCUUU
rnacentral:lncRNA from 1 species